CUCCUACGGGGAGGCAGCAGUGGGGGAAUAUUGCACAAUGGGCGCAAGCCUGAUGCAGCCAUGCCGCGUGUGUGAAGAAGGCCUUCGGGUUGUAAAGCACUUUCAGCAGUGAGGAAGGCGGAGUCGUUAAUAGCGGCCUCGUUUGACGUUAGCUGCAGAAGAAGCACCGGCUAACUCCGUGCCAGCAGCCGCGGUAAUACGGAGGGUGCGAGCGUUAAUCGGAAUUACUGGGCGUAAAGCGCAUGCAGGUGGUUUGUUAAGUCAGAUGUGAAAGCCCGGGGCUCAACCUCGGAAUAGCAUUUGAAACUGGCAGACUAGAGUACUGUAGAAGGGGGUAGGAAUUUCAGGUGUAGCGGUGAAAUGCGUAGAGAUCUGAAGGAAUACCGGUGGCGAAGGCGGCCCCCUGGACAGAUACUGACACUCAGAUGCGAAAGCGUGGGGAGCAAACAGGAUUAGAUACCCUGGUAG
rnacentral:rRNA from 1 species